UACGAAGGGGGCUAGCGUUGUUCGGAUUUACUGGGCGUAAAGCGCACGCAGGCGGAUUGUUAAGUCGGGGGUGAAAUCCUGGAGCUCAACUCCAGAACUGCCUUCGAUACUGGCAAUCUCGAGUCCGGAAGAGGUAAGUGGAACUCCUAGUGUAGAGGUGGAAUUCGUAGAUAUUAGGAAGAACACCAGUGGCGAAGGCGGCUUACUGGUCCGGUACUGACGCUGAGGAGCGAAAGCGUGGGGAGCGAACAGG
rnacentral:rRNA from 1 species